UCCAGGCAUGAAAACAUAGAGAGCAUUUAUUUCUCUCACCUAGACACAGAGAACUGCAGUUAAUGCCAUUUAUUGCUCUCACCUUCUCUCCUACCCCUCUCUCUCUCUCUCUCUCUGUCUGUUCUGCUCUUCACAAUCUCUCAACCAAAAACCUUCCAGCGGAGAGAAAAGAAUCUGAAGGCCACAAAGAAUUCUGCUCAUUGGGCUUUUUCCCUCGAAAGUUCUAAUCUUGGUGAGUUCUUCUAACUAAAUUUAGAAACUUGCAUCUUUGUUUUCCCAUUUGGGUUUUUAAAAUAUGGGGUUUGAAGUAUAUGGGUAUUUCUAUCAAGCUACUUUCUAUGUUAAGUCAUGGACCAUCAUUUCAAAGUUGAGCUCUGUAUGACAAAAUCUAAGGGUGGCAUCAAAUUUUGUCCAUUUGGGUCUUAAUUUAACAUGGUCUAUAGAGGAGCAUCAGUUCUCUUGAUCCAAGUUGUGACCUUGGCAAUCUUCAUAAGGGUUUCGUCCCUUGGCUCUAUGUCCUCAAUUGCAGUCUCCUAUGGUGAAAAUGGCCCUGCGUUUUGUGCUCUAAGCUCAGAUGGCUCUCAUUCUGUUAGCUGUUUCGGCGCCGAUAACUCGAUAGUCUAUGGAGCUCCUUCAAGGCUCCCUCUCUUAGGACUAACUGCUGGUGAUAGCUUUGUUUGUGGCCUUCUCUUGGAUUCAAAGCAACCCUAUUGUUGGGGGAGCAAUUUCUAUGUCAAGAUGGGAGUCCCUCAACCAAUGGAAGGAAACGCUGCAUAUUCUUCAAUCAGUGCUGGUGAUAAUCAUCUCUGUGGGCUUAGAAUCGAUAACAAAAGCUCUAUAAUUGACUGUUGGGGAUAUAAUAUGACCGCUUCACAUCAAUUUGGGGGUAGAGUUUCAUCGAUCUCAGCUGGUUCGGGGUUCAAUUGUGGUCUGUUUGAGCAUAGUUUAUCGGCAUUUUGCUUUGGGGAUGAAACCGGGAGCAAUGUCAUAAGCUUGAUACCUAGAGGGUUGAGUUUCCGAUCGAUUUCAGCUGGUGGGUUUCAUGUUUGCGGGGUCUUGGAGAAUUUGCAGGUGUUCUGUUGGGGGAGAAGUGUAGGAGGCAAUAGAGAUGACGUUGAGCAUGUACCGAUGGAUCCAAUGCUUUCAGUUGUCGGAGGAAGGUUCCAUUCUUGUGGGAUUAAGAGUGUCGGCCCGGGAGUAGUUUGCUGGGGUUUACGUCUGCCAAAUAGUUUACCACCGCCGAAAGAUUCUAGGGUUUAUGGGAUGGCUGCGGGCGAUUACUUCACUUGUGGCAUUGUCGCUGAUAAAUUCUUGAAACCUCGCUGUUGGGGCACCGGCGGCCCUUGGUCUUUACCCAUCGCAGUCUCUCCUGGGGUAUGCACAUCCAGUUCUUGUAGCCCUGGAUUCUUCGAGUUUAACCAUGAAAAGUUAGGUGAUCGGUUUUGCAAGCCACAAGGAUCUAGGAUUUGCUUGCCUUGCAGCACUGACUGUCUAGAAGGAACUCAUCAGUUCAACUGCUCAAAUUGUAGCUCGCCCGAGUGUUUUACAUAUUGUGGUUCAGGAAAGAAAUCUAAGACCUGGAGGUUUUCUGUGCCAAUUUUCAUUGGAGAGAUUGUUUUCGUGGUUGUAUUGAUAUUCUUGGUUUCGCUUGUUGCUUGCCUUUAUGUUCGGUAUAAGUUGAGGAAAUGUCGGUGUAGGGGAAUUCAAUUAAAGAAUGGGAGAGGUGGAACGUGUUCAUUUCAUAAGGAGUCUGUAAAAAUCCGGCCUGAUAAUGUUGAGGAGCUCAAGAUUCAGAGAGCUCGAAUGUUCACCUACGAAGAGUUGGAGAAAGCUACGGGAGGAUUCAAAGAAGAGUCACAAGUAGGAAAAGGCAGCUUCUCUUGUGUUUUCAAAGGGGUUUUAAAGGAUGGAACAGUUGUUGCAGUGAAAAGAUCGAUAGUAGUAUCAUCAGAUAUGAAGAAGAACUCGAAGGAAUUUAGAACUGAGCUCGACUUGCUCUCAAGGCUGAACCAUGCUCAUUUGCUUAACUUACUUGGUUAUUGCGAAGAAGGUGGAGAGAGACUCUUAGUAUAUGAGUUCAUGGCUCAUGGGUCUUUAUACCAACAUCUUCACGGUAAAGACCCGAGCCUUAAAGAACAAUUGGAUUGGGUUCGAAGGGUCACAAUCGCCGUUCAAGCUGCAAGAGGAAUUGAGUACUUACAUGGUUACGCUUGCCCCCCUGUAAUCCACCGAGACAUCAAGUCUUCAAACAUUCUAAUCGAUGAAGAGCACAAUGCUCGAGUCUCUGAUUUCGGUCUCUCUCUCUUAGGCCCAACCGACAGUAGCUCCCCUUUAUCUGAACUCCCAGCAGGAACUCUUGGCUACCUCGAUCCAGAAUACUACAGGCUUCACUACCUCACAACAAAAUCCGAUGUCUACAGCUUCGGGGUCCUCCUCCUCGAAAUUUUAAGCGGUAGAAAAGCCAUUGACAUGCAAUUUGAAGAAGGUAACAUAGUAGAAUGGGCAGUACCAUUGAUCAAAGCUGGGAACAUUUCAGCAAUGUUAGACCCGGCGACAAAACCUCCUUCAGAUGUCGAAGCUCUUCAGAAAAUCGCCGCCAUAGCAUGUAAAUGUGUGAGAAUGAGAGGCAAGGAUCGGCCUUCAAUGGAUAAAGUGACGACCGCAUUAGAGCGAGCUCUAGCUUUGUUAAUGGGCAGCCCAUGCAACGAUCAACCGAUCUUACCCACUGAAGUAGUUCUUGGAAGCAGUAGGUUGCAUAACAAACCAACCUCACAAAGGUCCUCAAAUCAGUCUGCUUCUGAAAUUGAGACUGCUGAGUUGGAGGAUCAGAGGUUCGAGUUCAGAGCACCGUCAUGGAUUACAUUUCCAAGUGUGACGUCUUCGUCGCAGAGAAGGAAAUCUUCGGUAUCUGAUGCGGAUGGUGAUGGCAAAAUCUUAGAAGGGAGGAAUUUGGGGAAUGCUAGUACUGUAGGAGAUAGCUUGAGGUGCUUGGAGGAAGAAAUUGGGCCUGCCUCUCCACAAGAGGAUUUAUUUUUGCAACAUAAUUUCUAAAGGUUGAAGGGUUAUCUGUUUCUUUUUUAUCAUGAUCAUCCUUUGAAUCAAUUUGAAGGUCAGAGUUGUUUCAUCACCCAUCUUUCGAUGUUGGAAGGAUGUAGCCCUGUAGAACUGGGGAAUGAAACUUGAAACUUGAAUGGAAGAGGAUGUUGCAUAUUGCCCUUUGCCAAA